rnacentral:rRNA from 1 species
UACGUAGGGGGCCUAGCGUUGUCCGGAUUUAUUGGGCGUAAAAGAGCUCGUAGGCGGUUCGGUAAGUCAGGUGUGAAAUCUCCACGCUCAACGUGGAGGCGCCACCUGAAACUGCCGUGACUCGAGUCCGGUAGGGGAGUGUGGAAUUUCCCGGUGGAGCGGUGAAAAUGCGUAGAGAUCGGAAAGAACACCAACGGCGAAAGCACUCUGCUGGGCCGACACUGACACUGAGAGACGAAAGCUAGGGGAGCGAAUGGG